rnacentral:rRNA from 1 species
UACGUAGGGUGCAAGCGUUAAUCGGAAUACUGGGCGUAAAGCGUGCGCAGGCGGUUGUGUAAGACAGAUGUGAAAUCCCCGGGCUCAACCUGGGAACUGCAUUUGUGACUGCACGGCUGGAGUGCGGGCAGAGGGGGAUGGAAUUCCGCGUGUAGCAGUGAAAUGCGUAGAUAUGCGGAGGAACACCGAUGGCGAAGGCAGCUCGCUGGGACGGUACUGGACGCUGAGGCGCGAAAGCGUGGGGAGCAAACAGG